AUUUGUUGUCGAGAAGAAGCAGGAAGUGACAUAAAGGACAGUGGCGCCCCCUCGUGGACUCGUUUGUUUCCAUUAGUUUAACCUCUGCGAAGGUAGCUCGUUGUUCCUUUGUGUUAUUCCAUAUGCCGGCUCAUUGCAUUUCUGGACAUUGCUUGAACACUCGGGAGAAUGGAAUUACGCUUCGUAAGUUUGAAAGAGACCCUGUUCGUUGUGAAAAAUGGAUUGCACGGGUGCAGAUGACGAGAACUUCGUGGGUUCCGAAUAACAGAUCUCAAGAUACCUGAGGUUUCCAGGGGCCGAGUUGACGUCCAGGCAAAGACCGUGGCCACGGCACUUGAGACUCUUACCGGGACUGGGCCUCGACUUUGCACCUGGAGGCUGAGGGUUGACGAGAAGGCGAAGGAAGUGAAGACAUUUCUGAGUCCAGUCAGAC